AUCCUAACUCAGAGCACUUAUA
rnacentral:miRNA from 12 species